GACAGAGGGUGCAAGCGUUAUCCGGAUUCACUGGGUUUAAAGGGUGCGUAGGUGGGUCUGUAAGUCAGUGGUGAAAUCUCCGGGCUUAACCCGGAAACUGCCAUUGAUACUAUAGGUCUUGAAUUAUCUGGAGGUGAGCGGAAUAUGUCAUGUAGCGGUGAAAUGCUUAGAUAUGACAUAGAACACCAAUUGCGAAGGCAGCUCACUACGGAUAUAUUGACACUGAGGCACGAAAGCGUGGGGAUCAAACAGG
rnacentral:rRNA from 1 species